ACCUGCCCUAUGAUUAAUUAUUAAAUGGCUGCGGUAAUUUGACCGUACAAAGGUAGCAUAAUCAUUAGUUUUUUAAUUGGGAACUGGAAUGAAAGGUCGAACGAAAAAAAAACUGUCUCAAUUUAAUUUAAAUUAGAAUUUUAUUUUUAAGUUAAAAAGCUUAAAUAAUUUUAAAAGACGAGAAGACCCUAUAGAGUUUUAUAUUUUAAUUUUUAUAUGAAAAAUUUAAGAAUUAUAAUUUUUUAUAAAAGUUAAAGUAUUUAAUUGGGGCGAUUAAAAAAUUUAAUAAACUUUUUUUAAAUUUUAACAUUGAUUUAUGAAUAAGUGAUCCAUACAUAAUGAUUAUAAGAUU
rnacentral:rRNA from 1 species